GACGGAGGGUGCAAGCGUUGCUCGGAAUCAUUGGGCGUAAAGGGUGCGUAGGCGGCUUUUUAAGUCUGACGUGAAAGCCCAGGGCUUAGCCUUGGAAGUGCGCCAGAAACUGGAAGGCUAGAGUGCCGGAGGGGAGAGUGGAAUUCCUGGUGUAGCGGUGAAAUGCGUAGAUAUCAGGAAGAACACCAACGGCGAAGGCAGCUCGCUGGGACGGUACUGACGCUGAGACGCGAAAGCGUGGGGAGCGAACAGG
rnacentral:rRNA from 1 species